AAGACCUCAGCUCAGACCAGGGUGGGAGGCAAGAUUAGGAAAGACAGCUUAGAGUUUAGCCUGUGACAAGGGCGCUUGAGUCACCUCUGUCCCAGGAGCUGAACCUAAACCAGGCAGGAGAGGCCUUAAGUCCGCUGGGGAGUAGCAGGGGUUGGGAUUGUUUGCAGGGUAGCUAGAACCAGCACUCCUUGCUGUGAAGCCUAUAUUUAGAUCAGCUAAGAGGGGGCCUGAUUCAAUGUCAGUCAAUGCUGGGAGCAAGAAAUAGCCUUGAGCAUAUAAGGUGCAUGGCAGAUGCCUAGGCUAAGCCAUCACAAGGCAUCUCCAUCCACUAAGGAAGAGCUGAAGGGGCCAGGAGGGAGGCCAGGCUCAACCCAGCAGGUGCACUUUUAAGGAUGAACCAGAGAGCUGGCAUAAGUUCAAGUCUCUGAACUCUAAAAUGAAGGAUGGGACUUAGACUCUUUGAUCUUUUCCACUGACAGAUUCUUAGUUCUCUAAACAAGACAUUUGGAAGGACCCCUGCUCAUCCUGGUACAUAUAGCAGCCGAGACCUUAUCUUCCUGGGCCAGCCUUCCUCUCCUGCCCCCUCCCUCCCUGGGUUUCUCCCUUCUGCCCCCCCCCCCAGUCUUCACUUGAGGGACUCUAAAUCCUGAGCAGAGGGAGGGGGAGUGGAUAUGUCUAGGCCCAGGCCUUCCAUACUCACUGCAGAGGGACAACAGUUACUCAGUGUGGUCUGUGUGCCACAGGCUAUCCCAGGCCUUUCAUGCCAGGUCCUCACUGAGACAGUCACUACACAGUACACCAAAGAGGAAACCAAGCCACGGUGGCUGCCCUACUCUGUGCAUUGUGUCCCAGGGGGCAGGGAAGUAGGAAGUGUCCUUGGUUGCAGGUGGGGAUCUCAAGGCUUAGAGAGGGUACUGACUCUGAAGUCAGGACAGAGGCAGGCCCAGGGCUACUGUCCUGUUUGGAUUUGACUUCUGACUCACCCUGUAUCCCCACCACACCAUCUGUGCUCCUCACAGCGGCCUCUGGUAUAGAUGAUUGUAUCAAAAGCAGCUGGGCGCGAGGACAAAAGGUCUUAUUCCUCUGAUCCCCAAAGACCCCACACAGAGUCCCAACUAGCUUCACCUGGAACAGACUUCCUUAAAGGCAGUUUUGCCCGUGGUCCAGUUAGAGGUGACCCUAGGUCAGCUGACCCAAACCCAGAGCAACACAGGACCAGGACCUCCAUCCUACAUUCAUGAGCACUUACUGAAUGCUUUAUGCUUACGUGGGAAGCAAGAGGUCCUGGGCGUCUUGCUUCCUCCAACUGGGUUGCCUUAGCUCUAUCCUUUCCCUUCUAGAGCAUUCUUUUCCAUCAGGACAGCUGAGCCUUGGUCAGACACACACCCCCUCCCCCAAGCCUACAGCAGUAGCCAAGAGUAUCCAGAGAGUUUGCUUUUGGCCCUUGUUAGCUGAGUUAAGAAAGAAAGAAAGGGGAACCAAUUACCUAUAAUGUAGUUAAUUAACAACCACUCGGUUUUGAUUCACACGAACCAUUCUGAGAAAGAGCUCAGGGCAGAGAUUGUGAAAGGCACUCGGAUUUCUUCAUAAAACAGAGACAGUGAUGGUAUCUGGGCUCCAGCAAGAGGCCCCUUGUGCCCCUUGUCAUCAUCCUUCAUAAACCUUCUAUCCAGACUUAGUCAAUGGACCCAGGCUGGAACUGCAGCCAGAGCUGCCUGGAAGGCUGGAACAUCCUGCACACCCAGGUUUUGAGCACAGUGGCUUCAUCAGGAUUUCCUGACUCCAGGAACCUUGUGCAACCCACGGGAGAUGAGUCUGAUUCUGUGACCGCGUGCACCACUAACCUGGGUUUGGUUUUCCUAUCUCUCAGAGGAGACCGUUGGGCUAAGAGAUUUCUAAACUUCCCCUUUACUCUAAAAUCCCAUGUACAAUCUGUUGACCUUCAGCUAAGGACUGACCUACCUUGUCUGAGACACUGGUCAGUUAGGUUCCCUUUUCAGGAGGGUUGGGCAAGACUGGGCUGAUUCUCAGGGUCAGCUACAGGGGACCCUUUGGACUUCCUUAUGUGUCAAGACAGAAGGGAGGGAGGCAACAAACAAGCUGCAGGGCCACGUCAUGGAGUCACGGCCAGGAGCCUGGGUCACCUUAGGGAACCUAAAGUCAGUGCCUGGCAGGUGGGAAGCCCAGGGUUCAGUAGCCAUUACCACCAAAUAAAUAUAUAAAUAAAGUGAGCGAUGACUUUCAGGCAUACACCAAAGCACAGAGUUCAGAGCCCCUGACCGUCUACGUUCACAGCAGCACCAUCUGCAAGAGCUGAGAGGUACAAGUGUCCAUCUAGGCAGGAUGGAUGAGCAAGGAAUAUAGCCAGGCCAAAGCACACAAUGUGAUCCAGACAUCCAACUGAAGGAAACUUCAGCAUGUGUGGCACGAUGCACCCCACAAACAUAGGGAGCAAGAUAAGCUAGCCACAGAAGGACAAAUAUCUAGUUGUGCAGAAUAGGCAAACUCACAGGACUAGAUUUGAGGCUAGCAGGGGCUGGGUGCAGGAGAACAGUUAUUGGUUAAUAAGGAUGGGGUCUCAGUUUCACAAAAGGACACGGCCUUGGGGAUUAACACACGGUUGAACAAGAUGAAUCUUCUCGAUAGUUAAUGAACAGCUCUUAAGAUGUGCUCGGCCUAGGGCCAAGCAUCUUGAGUCCUGGAUAAGUUCGAGGAAGUCAGGAUUGCUUGAGCCCAUGAGUUCUGGGUCAGCCUGGUCAAAAAUGGAAUAAAGUGGGUCAGUGAGCUAUCUCAGUGGGUGAGACACUUGCCAUGCAGGCCUGAUGACUUACGUUCAGUUCCCAGAACCCACGGGGCAGAAAGAGAGCAGACACUGUAAAGUAGUUCUCUGACCUCCACAUGCGUGCUGUGGCAUGUGAGCCCCACAUCUCUCUUACACGAAAAACAAACAACAACAACAACAAUACUUUUGUAGUUCUUUUGAGACACUGGCUGUUCUGGAACUCUCUAUGUAGAUCAGACUGGCCUCAAACUCACAGAAAUCUACCUGCCUCUGGCUCCCAAAUGCUAGGAUUAAAGGCAUGCGCCUCCAUGCCUAGUUAGUGAUAGUAAUCUUAAAUUAAAAACAGAAAGGAGCCAGGCAUGGUGGCGCACGCCUUUAAUCCCAGCACCAGGGAGGCAGAGGCAGGUGGAUUUCUGAGUUCGAGGCCAGCCUGGUCUACAAAGUGAGUUCCAGGACAUCCAGGGCUACACAGAGAAACCCUGUCUCGACCCCCCCCCCAAAAAAAAAAACAGAAAGGAGAGAUUAAAAAAAUAAUGAAAGAAAAGAAGAAAGGACUGGGGAUGUAGCUCAGGACACAGUGACAGAGGGUGGAGGCAGAAGGAUCAGAAAUUAAGUUUUUGUUUGUUCAUUUGUUUGUUGUUUGGUUGAUUUUUUUUUUGUUGUUGUUGUUGUUGUUUUUUUACUAUGUAGUGAGAAAGGAGAGAAGGAAGGAGUCGGGACCAGAGUGUACGUCCCAUGCCCAUGCCGAAGAACACCACGUAACUCAAAAGCAAAAAAAAAAAAAAAAAAAAAGGUCAGUUCUAUGGACUUGUUUUACCACAAUGGAAACAAAACUGGGCAAACAGCCCCCACACUCCCCACGGCCGGCUGGGACUGACACCAGAAAGGAUUCAAUGCAAACGCCUUCAGACGGAGGAGUCUCCUGCUAUUUCUGCCUGCGAGCAGGCUCUGUGCCCCGGUGAAGGGAGACCUGGGACCUGCACCCACCUUUUUGAAGUUCUGGGAAUGGUGAGAAGAGCUACAGAUGCUCAAGGAGCCAAGAGCCUUUGGCAGUGCCUCCCCUCCAUCAUCCUGUGGUCUGCCUCACCUUGUCAUUUCCCUUCAGUAAAUUCCCAAGGAAAGGGUGUCUGACUCCCCUCCCCGGUGCUUCCAGGAACUUUUGAGAGGGUCAUCAGAGCUACCAAUCCCUUCUGAGAUCCUGGCACAGGGCAGCUCUAGCCCAGGGGGACACCAAUUUGGGCUCCUCUGGUGCCCCUAGAAAAGUGCUCUGUGUGUGUGUGUGUGUGUGUGUGUGUGUGUGUGUGUGUGUGUGUGUGUGAAGGGGGGGAUUGACUUUGUGUAUCUGGGUGAAGCCUAGCCCCCUACAAUGAAGUUUCACAGAAUUCGCAGGAGGAAAGCUCGGUGUUUGCGCUAUCUUGGGGUAUCGGGACUGGUCCAUGUUCCUUCCUUCUUCUCUCCCCUGGUGAUGAGCACUGCAUCCAGAAGAGAGACUACCACAGUAUUCUUCCUCUCACCUUAAAGGGAAGCAGACACCCUCCCUGCCUUGGGCACCCAGGACGAACUUUUCAGCGGAGCCCAGCCAGCACGGGUCUGGCAGCACUCACCGUCAGGGAGCUGUCCCUCUUCUGAGUUCUGCCCGAGAGCCACGAACCUCCACACUGUCCCUGGGGACUGCUCUCGGCUCGGUCAACGUUAUGAGUCUCUGCACAGACAGACACUUCUCCUUUUCGUUUCUGUGUUUCCCGCCCCCCUUCUGUUCCCCUCCCUGAUUUUCAAUCUGAUUAUUUGUGUCAAAAUCUGGCGGCUGCAGCGUCAGCCAAUGACCAGAGCGCGAAAGUGCAGCCACAUUUGCUUAUCAAAACUUCACAGAAGCUUCUAACCCACUGGAAAUUUCUCCAGAAACUUUCAGUAGCAUUUGGGUGAAAGAGAGUGGCUAACUUAUUAAAAUGUAAAAGUCUA